GCCUGAUGCAGCACGCCGCGUGAGGGAUGACGGCUUUCGGGUUGUAAACCUCUUUUAGCAGGGAAGAAGCGAGAGUGACGGUACUUGCAGAAAAAAGCGCCGGCUAACUACGUGCCAGCAGCCGCGGUAAUACGUAGGGCGCAAGCGUUAUCCGGAAUUAUUGGGCGUAAAGAGCUCGUAGGCGGUUUGUCGCGUCUGCUGUGAAAUCCCGAGGCUCAACCUCGGGCCUGCAGUGGGUACGGGCAGACUAGAGUGCGGUAGGGGAGAUUGGAAUUCCUGGUGUAGCGGUGGAAUGCGCAGAUAUCAGGAGGAACACCGAUGGCGAAGGCAGAUCUCUGGGCCGUAACUGACGCUGAGGAGCGAAAGGGUGGGGAGCAAACAGGCUUAGAUACCCUGGUAGUCCACCCCGUAAACGUUGGGAACUAGUUGUGGGGUCCAUUCCACGGAUUCCGUGACGCAGCUAACGCAUUAAGUUCCCCGCCUGGGGAGUACGGCCGCAAGGCUAAAACUCAAAGGAAUUGACGGGGACCCGCACAAGCGGCGGAGCAUGCGGAUUAAUUCGAUGCAACGCGAAGAACCUUACCAAGGCUUGACAUAUACGAGAACGGGCCAGAAAUGGUCAACUCUUUGGACACUCGUAAACAGGUGGUGCAUGGUUGUCGUCAGCUCGUGUCGUGAGAUGUUGGGUUAAGUCCCGCAACGAGCGCAACCCUCGUUCUAUGUUGCCAGCACGUAAUGGUGGGAACUCAUGGGAUACUGCCGGGGUCAACUCGGAGGAAGGUGGGGAUGACGUCAAAUCAUCAUGCCCCUUAUGUCUUGGGCUUCACGCAUGCUACAAUGGCCGGUACAAAGGGCUGCAAUACCGCGAGGUGGAGCGAAUCCCAAAAAGCCGGUCCCAGUUCGGAUUGAGGUCUGCAACUCGACCUCAU
rnacentral:rRNA from 1 species